GACGAACGCUGGCGGCGUGCUUAACACAUGCCAGUCGAACGGAAAGGCCCUGCUUUUGUGGGGUGCUCGAGUGGCGAACGGGUGAGUAACACGUGAGUAACCUGCCCUUGACUUUGGGAUAACUUCAGGAAACUGGGGCUAAUACCGGAUAUGAGCUCCUGCUGCAUGGUGGGGGUUGGAAAGUUUCGGCGGUUGGGGAUGGACUCGCGGCUUAUCAGCUUGUUGGUGGGGUAGUGGCUUACCAAGGCUUUGACGGGUAGCCGGCCUGAGAGGGUGACCGGCCACAUUGGGACUGAGAUACGGCCCAGACUCCUACGGGAGGCAGCAGUGGGGAAUAGUGCACAAUGGGCGGAAGCCUGAUGCAGCAACGCCGCGUGCGGGAUGACGGCCUUCGGGUUGUAAACCGCUUUCGCCUGUGACGAAGCGUGAGUGACGGUAAUGGGUAAAGAAGCACCGGCUAACUACGUG
rnacentral:rRNA from 1 species